GACGAACGCUGGCGGCGUGCCUAACACAUGCAAGUCGAGCGAUGAAACCCUUCGGGGUGGAUUAGCGGCGGACGGGUGAGUAACACGUGGGUAACCUGCCUCAAAGAGGGGGAUAGCCUCCCGAAAGGGAGAUUAAUACCGCAUAACAUUAGUUUUUCGCAUGAAGGACUAAUUAAAGGAGUAAUCCGCUUUGAGAUGGACCCGCGGCGCAUUAGCUAGUUGGUGAGGUAAAGGCUCACCAAGGCGACGAUGCGUAGCCGACCUGAGAGGGUGAUCGGCAACAUUGGAACUGAGACACGGUCCAGACUCCUACGGGAGGCAGCAGUGGGGAAUAUUGCACAAUGGGCGAAAGCCUGAUGCAGCAACGCCGCGUGAGUGAUGAAGGCCUUCGGGUUGUAAAGCUCUGUCUUUUGGGACGAUAAUGACGGUACCAAAGGAGGAAGCCACGGCUAACUACGUGCCAGCCGCCGCAGUAAUAC
rnacentral:rRNA from 1 species